CAACUCCUUCCAGUCGAGUGGCGGACGGGUGAGUAACACGUGGGUAACCUGCCCGGAAGUGGGGAAUACCUCGGGGAAACUCGAGCUAAUACCGCAUGACAUCUCCGGGACGAAAGUCCUGGCGAUCAAAGCGGAGCCGCAAGGUCUCGCGCUACCGGAUGGGCCCGCGCCCGAUUAGCUAGUUGGUGAGGUAACGGCCCACCAAGGCUUCGAUCGGUAACCGGCCUGAGAGGGCGAUCGGUCACACCGGAACUGAGACACGGUCCGGACUCCUACGGGAGGCAGCAGUGGGGAAUCUUGCGCAAUGGGCGGAAGCCUGACGCAGCAACGCCGCGUGGAGGAUGAAGGCCCUUGGGUUGUAAACUCCUGUCGGCUGGGAAGAAAUCGUACGGUGCUCAUACCACCGUGCGUUGACUGUACCAGCAAAGGAAGCCCCGGCUAACUCUGUGCCAGCAGCCGCGGUAAUACAGAGGGGGCCAGCGUUAUUCGGAAUUAUUGGGCGUAAAGGGCGCGUAGGCGGCCAUGCGUGUCUUCCGUGAAAUCCCUCGGCUCAACUGAGGACGUGCGGAAGAAACUGCAAGGCUCGAGUCCGGGAGAGGGGGGUGGAAUUCCCAGUGUAGCGGUGAAAUGCGUAGAUAUUGGGAGGAACACCGGUGGCGAAGGCGGCCCCCUGGACCGGUACUGACGCUGAGGCGCGAAAGCGUGGGUAGCAAACGGGAUUAGAUACCCCGGUAGUCCACGCCGUAAACGAUGGCACUUGGUGUCGCGGGUAUCGACCCCUGCGGUGCCGAAGCUAACGCAUUAAGUG
rnacentral:rRNA from 1 species